rnacentral:tRNA from 1 species
GCGGGUAUGGCGGAAUUGGCAGACGCGCCAGAUUUAGGUUCUGGUGUCCUUGACGUGCAGGUUCAAGUCCUGUUACCCGCACCA